rnacentral:rRNA from 1 species
AACGAACGCUGGCGGCAUGCCUAACACAUGCAAGUCGAACGAGACCUUCGGGUCUAGUGGCGCACGGGUGCGUAACGCGUGGGAACCUGCCCUUAGGUUCGGAAUAACUCCCCGAAAGGGGUGCUAAUACCGGAUAAUGUCUUCGGACCAAAGAUUUAUCGCCUUUGGAUGGGCCCGCGUUGGAUUAGCUAGUUGGUAGGGUAAAAGCCUACCAAGGCGACGAUCCAUAGCUGGUCUGAGAGGAUGAUCAGCCACACUGGGACUGAGACACGGCCCAGACUCCUACGGGAGGCAGCAGUGGGGAAUAUUGGACAAUGGGCGAAGGCCUGAUCCAGCAAUGCCGCGUGAGUGAUGAAGGCCUUAGGGUUGUAAAGCUCUUUUACCCGGGAUGAUAAUGACAGUACCGGGAGAAUAAGCUCUGGCUAACUCCGUG